UGGGGAAUAUUGCACAAUGGAGGAAACUCUGAUGCAACGACGCCGCGUGAGGGAAGAAGGUUUUCGGAUUGUAAACCUCUGUCUUGUGGGACGAUAAUGACGGUACCACAGGAGGAAGCCAUGGCUAACUACGUGCCAGCAGCCGCGGUAAUACGUAGAUGGCGAGCGUUGUCCGGAAUUACUGGGUGUAAAGAGUACGUAGGCGGCAAGGUAAGUCUGAUGUGAAAUGCGGGAGCUUAACUUCCGAACGGCAUUGGAUACUGCUUUGCUAGAGCAAUGGAGGGGAAACCGGAAUUCUCGGUGUAGCAGUGAAAUGCGUAGAUAUCGAGAGGAACACUCGUGGCGAAGGCGGGUUUCUGGACAUUAGCUGACGCUGAGGUACGAAGGCCAGGGUAGCGAAAG
rnacentral:rRNA from 1 species